CAAACGGCCCUUUUCAGGGCCACUAUUUUCUACAAGAUCGAAACA
rfam:Tropilaelaps mercedesae isolate Wuxi-XJTLT scaffold0000025263, whole genome shotgun sequence.